rnacentral:rRNA from 1 species
CACGUAGGGCGCAAGCGUUGUCCGGAAUUAUUGGGCGUAAAGAGCUCGUAGGCGGUUUGUUACGUCUGCUGUGAAAUCCUAGGGCUUAACCCUGGGUUUGCAGUGGAUACGGGCAGACUAGAGGUAGGUAGGGGAGAAUGGAAUUCCUGGUGUAGCGGUGAAAUGCGCAGAUAUCAGGAGGAACACCGGUGGCGAAGGCGGUUCUCUGGGCCUUACCUGACACUGAGGAGCGAAAGCGUGGGGAUCAAACAGG